ensembl:miRNA gmo-mir-29d gmo-mir-29d
CCGGUUUCAGGUGGUGUUUUAGAGUACCAGAUCCAAUCUAGCACCAUUUGAAAUCGGU